rnacentral:rRNA from 1 species
UGUGUGUCGUAGUUAACGCGUUAAACAGGGUGCCUGGGAAGUACGGCCGCAAGGCUAAAACCCAAAGGAAUUGACGGGGACCCGCACAAGCAGUGGAGCGCCUGGUUUAAUUCGAUGGUCAGCGAAGAACCUCACCUAGGCUUGAACUGUAGCUGCACGCUCCCAGAAACGGGAGAAUCCUUCGAGGGUGCUACAGAGGUGCUGCAUGGCUGUCGUCAGCUCGUGUCGUGAGAUGUAGGGUUAAGUCCCACAACGAGCGCAACCCCUAUUCAGUGUUAUAAUUACUCUGAAGACUGCCCUGUCCAAACGGGGAGGAAGGAGGGGACGACGUCCAGUCAUCAUGUCCCUUAUGUCUAGGGCUACACAGACGCUACAAUGGCCGGUACAAUGGGUUGCCAAACCGCGAGGUGGAGCCAAUCCCAUCAAAGCCGGUCCCAGUUCGGAUUGCAGUCUGCAACUCGACUGCAUGAAGUUGGAAUUGCUAGUAAUCGCGAAUCAGCACGUCGCGGUGAUACGUUCUCGGGUCUUGUACACACCGCCCGUCAGGGCACGGGAGUCGCUCUUGCUCGAAGU